GAUGAACGCUGACAGCAUGCUUAACACAUGCAGGUCCACUUGAACUUCGGUUUGGGUGGCGGACGGGUGAGUAACGCGUAAAGAACUUGCCUCACAGAUAGGGACAACAUUUGGAAACGAAUGCCAAUACCUGAUAUUAUGAUUAUAUGGCAUCGUAUAAUUAUGAAAGCUAUAUGCGCUGUGAGAGAGCUUUGCGUCCCAUUAGCUAGUUGGAGAGGUAACGGCUCACCAAGGCGAUGAUGGGUAGCCGGCCUGAGAGGGUGAUCGGCCACAAGGGGACUGAGACACGGCCCUUACUCCUACGGGAGGCAGCAGUGGGGAAUAUUGGACAAUGGACCAAGAGUCUGAUCCAGCAAUUCUGUGUGCACGAUGAAGUUUUUCGGAAUGUAAAGUGCUUUCAGUUGGGAAGAAAAAAAUGACGGUACCAACAGAAGAAGUGACGGCUAAAUACGUG
rnacentral:rRNA from 1 species